rnacentral:rRNA from 1 species
CGCGAAGAACCUUACCAGGUCUUGACAUCCUUUGACCAUCCUAGAGAUAGGACUUUCCUUUCGGGGACAAAGUGACAGGUGGUGCAUGGUUGUCGUCAGCUCGUGUCGUGAGAUGUUGGGUUAAGUCCCGCAACGAGCGCAACCCUUAUUGUUAGUUGCCAUCAUUCAGUUGGGCACUCUAGCGAGACUGCCGCAGACAAUGCGGAGGAAGGUGGGGAUGACGUCAAAUCAUCAUGCCCCUUAUGACCUGGGCUACACACGUGCUACAAUGGAGAGUACAACGAGUUGCGAAGUCGUGAGGCUAAGCUAAUCUCUUAAAGCUCUUCUCAGUUCGGAUUGUAGGCUGCAACUCGCCUACAUGAAGCCGGAAUCGCUAGUAAUCGCGGAUCAGCACGCCGCGGCGAAUACGUUCCCGGGUCUUGUACACACC